rnacentral:rRNA from 1 species
GACGAACGCUGGCGGCGUGCUUAACACAUGCAAGUCGAACGGAGUGGCGAACGGGUGAGUAACACGUGGGUGACCUGCCCUGCACUUCGGGAUAAGCCUGGGAAACUGGGUCUAAUACCGGAUAGUGUGGGAGGGGCCCGCGGCCUAGCGGCUUGUUGGUGGGGUAAAGGGCUACCAAGGCGGCGACGGGUCGCCGGCCUGAGAGGGGGGACGGCCACAUGGGGACUGAGACACGGCGCAGACGCCUACGGGAGGCAGCAGUGGGGAAUAUUGCACAAUGAGCGGAAGCCUGAUGCAGCGACGCCGCGUGGGUGAUGACGGCCUUCGGGUUGGAAACUCCUUUCACCAUCGACGCGGUAGAUGGAGAAGAAGCACCGGCUAACUACGUGCCAGCAGCCGCGGUAAUUC